UUUGUUUCUAGACCCGUGUGUGGUAAGACAGAACAUCAUGGAGGAGAGAAGCUGCUGACUGUGGCAGAUAAGACCCAGAGAAAGACAAUGAAAAGGACAGUAACUGGAAUAAGGCAGAACUUUCCAAGUGGAUUCCUUUGCUGGGAAAUGAAAAUACCUUCGUGUUGAAAUGGCAAUCCGUGGUGGUUUCUCUGCUGAAUGGACCCUGACAGACCCACUUUCAGAACCUAUUCAGUUCUUAUUGAUCACCGUUUUCUGCCCGGCAUGAGCCAUCAGAGUACACCCUUCUCUGCAGAGCUACUGCAAGUAACAAAAGA